rnacentral:rRNA from 1 species
UACGUAGGUGACCAGCGUUGUCCGGAUUUACUGGGCGUAAAGAGCGCGCAGGCGGUCGUUCAAGUCGAGUGUGAAAGCCCCCGGCUCAACUGGGGAGGGUCAUUCGAUACUGAUCGACUCGAAGGCAGGAGAGGGAAGCGGAAUUCCCGGUGUAGUGGUGAAAUGCGUAGAUAUCUGGAGGAACACCGGUGGCGAAGGCGGCAUCCUGGACCGAGAUUGACGCUGAGGCGCGAAAGCCAGGGGAGCAAACGGG